GUGGGGAAUCUUGCGCAAUGGGCGAAAGCCUGACGCAGCCAUGCCGCGUGAAUGAUGAAGGUCUUAGGAUUGUAAAAUUCUUUCACCGGGGACGAUAAUGACGGUACCCGGAGAAGAAGCUCCGGCUAACUUCGUGCCAGCAGCCGCGGUAAUACGAAGGGGGCUAGCGUUGCUCGGAAUUACUGGGCGUAAAGGGCGCGUAGGCGGACAGCUUAGUCAGAGGUGAAAGCCCAGGGCUCAACCUUGGAAUUGCCUUUGAUACUGGCUGUCUUGAGUUUGGGAGAGGUGAGUGGAACUCCGAGUGUAGAGGUGAAAUUCGUAGAUAUUCGGAAGAACACCAGUGGCGAAUGCGACUCACUGGCCCAAUACUGACGCUGAGGCGCGAAAGCGUGGGGAGCAAACAGGAUUAGAUACCCGUGUAGUCC
rnacentral:rRNA from 1 species